GAUGAACGCUGGCGGCGUGCCUAAUACUUGCAAGUCGAGCGAACGGACGAGAAGCUUGCUUCUCUGAUGUUAGCGGCGGACGGGUGAGUAACACGUGGAUAACCUACCUAUAAGACUGGGAUAACUUCGGGAAACCGGAGCUAAUACCGGAUAAUAUUUUGAACCGCAUGGUUCAAAAGUGAAAGACGGUCUUGCUGUCACUUAUAGAUGGAUCCGCGCUGUAUUAGCUAGUUGGUAAGGUAACGGCUUACCAAGGCAACGAUGCAUAGCCGACCUGAGAGGGUGAUCGGCCACACUGGAACUGAGACACGGUCCAGACUCCUACGGGAGGCAGCAGUAGGGAAUCUUCCGCAAUGGGCGAAAGCCUGACGGAGCAACGCCGCGUGAGUGAUGAAGGUCUUCGGAUCGUAAAACUCUGUUAUUAGGGAAGAACAUAUGUGUAAGUAACUGUGCACAUCUUGACGGUACCUAAUCAGAAAGCCACGGCUAACUACGUG
rnacentral:rRNA from 1 species